AAUCCCCCUUUUACUUUCUUGUUUUAAAAUCUUUUGUUUACAUUUUUAACUUUGUUUCUUUUUGUUUUUGAGUUAGUUUAGAGGUUUUAGCAAGCCCUCCUAAUCCCCGGUUUAGAACGAUCCCUACUUACAUACUUUGCUACAAUUGUCAAAAAGAGGGUUUAAUUUGUGUGUCAAGUAAUUCUCGCAUCAUUGGGCAUCUACAGAGACACGUAAAAUCCCCAAGUCCAGUGAUGUGGUAAAAACUAACACACAAAUUAAACCCUAUUAAGAUAGUUGUAGUACACGUAAGUAGGGAUCGUUCUAGGCUGGAGAUUAGUUAGGGAUGCAAAUCAACACAAAUUAAACUUAAAAGUUGAAAACUAGACUCAAAUAACUCAAAACAAGCUAAACUGACUAAAAUAACACAAAACUAAGUUAAAUUGACUCAAAACAAGAACUAGAGGGUGAUUUGGACUAAAAAUUAAACUAAAAAGACUCAAAAUACUAAAUGGGGACUGGUUUGAACGAAUUUUAACUAAACUAACACGACACACUGGCGGGGGGUUUGUUUUGGACGAAAAUUGACUUAAAACUAAAAAGUUGCAGAACUAAGUAAAGGUUGCACGAAAUUAAGGUGACACAUAUGACACAUGACACAUAGAGGGUCCUUCUCCACACAUGACACAUAUGCAUACAAAUCGAUUUCCAAUUAUUCUUCCUAUAAACCAUGAAUGGCAAUGUCCUAAAUUAAUCGUGAGAAGCACAAAUUAACUGUAAGAUUUUCCUAAAUUCAUUGAAUUGGACUCAGCGGCGCAACCAAAUUAUUGUUAUCAAGUUCCCUACAUGAACUGCAUAAUAGAGAUACAUAUCAAAGAUCAUUAAGUUCUAUGAAAAUCAUAAGUAUUGGCAAGGUAUUCAUAACUAUGAACUGCAUGAUACUUCUGCCAGGAAUUUACUUAACAUGAUCGUGACUAGUGACUUUUACUACUUGUGAAUAUAAGUUCAUAAUGAUUAGGUGAAAUUCCCUUAUAUUCUAGCAUCAAAUUCAUGCAUGCAAACUAAGUAGGCCUCCUUAAUCAACACACAAGAACAAAUUAUCAAUCAAACAGAUAAGUAAAUUGCAUUCACGAUUCAUGGCUUUGAAUUCUCCUCUAACUAAAACGAUUUUAGUUCCACAUGUUCUUCAGAAUUGAAAACCAAAUUAAACUAAACAUUGGACUAAAACUCAGGAUAGAAAGAACCCAGAAACGCUCCAGCACUCCAAUGGCAGAUUUGGCACAAUCCUUGGGUGCAAGGGCACAACACAAAGGCUCUCCUUCUCCUUCAUAAGCCUCCAAACACCUUCAAAAACCUACGGCACUCAUGUAUAGUUUUCUCUCUUAUUUCUCUAUGGUGUGUUGUGCGAAAUUGUGGUCAGAAAAUAUGUAUUUAUAGGCUAGGGUUUCGGCACAAAAGUUGUGGAGGAGAAGGAUUACACAAUCCUAGGGGAAUAGGACUAGGGAAUUCGGCACAAAGCUUCUAGAAUGGGAUAUCUAGCAGAUUAACUAGGAGCUAAGUAUAAGAGGGUGCGGCACCACUUAGGAUCAGGAAUAGGGCUUCUAGAAAGGGGUAUUUAGGUGAUUUAAUGUGAAAUUGAUCCCCCCUUGUAGCUGGAAUUAAGUUAGGAAAAGAUUAUGAUAAGAUAAGGAUAGUUUGGAUAAGAUAAGGUUGGAUAAUGUUUUGGAUAAUGUUCCUUCCUUUUAGCUGAUUCCUUAUCUUCUUUGUCUUGACGUUAUUUUCUUCAUCUCUUCAGCAUAUUCCUAGCCUCUUGAACUUCAAAAACGUCCAUCCACCUUGCUCCAUGCAUGUGCUAUCCAUUUUUGGCCCAAAACUGCUCUAAAUUGCACUUUCUUGCCAACUUUGUCAUUUGAACCUGAAAACACACGAAAAUAGCUUAAAACACUCUAAUAAGCAGAAACUAGCUAUGUAAAUGCAAGAAAACAAGCUAACUAAGCCGUAUAAAUAUGCUCCUAUCAUCCAGUUCUGAUUUUUCACUCUUUUCAUUUUCUUUGUUCCUUGUAGAUUCGUGAAAAUGAUUGGGACUAUAGUGUCGAAGCUUUGAAAAUUCCAUGGAUUUACAUGGUUGCACUGCUCGAAAAUUUCCUCAUUAGUUGCUUGGACUUUUGAUUAGCAUAUAUUUCAAUUCUCACUCUUCUCGGAGAUCACAUCUACUUCAAGUCCCAGAUCCCUCUUCAUAAGAUCCCAAUACGUUUCUUUUCACCUCCAUUUCUCCAUUAUUAUUAUUUUUUUUCUGAUUUUGUUCCUUGGGUUUGAUUCUUUAGUUUGAUUUUACUGCUGGAUUUUUUGUUCUUUUGGGUUUAGUCUCACCUUUUUAUAAAGCCCAAUUGUAAGAUAGUUGCAUAGUUUUGUAUUUCAACUGUAUUAUGACAUGAGUUUGUAUCAAGUUUGUGAAUUUUGAUGUGGGUUUUUUUUUUUUUUUUUUUUUUUUUUUUUUUUUUUUUUUUUAAUUUGCUCAAUUGUGAGUUGAGGUUUUGCAUGUGCAGCUUCUUAUGUAUGUACCCUUUUUUAGCUGUAAAGCUACAUGAUUAAUCAAUUUUAGGUCUGUUGAUAAGCAGGUUUCUGCUUAUUUCUGUUUUCUUAUUGAUAAUUGGGUUUACGUUUGAUGCGAAAUAUAUAAGCACACAAAUUAAACCCUCUUUUUAUCAAUUGUAGCAAAGUACG
rnacentral:lncRNA from 1 species